rnacentral:rRNA from 1 species
GGGGAAUAUUGCACAAUGGGCGCAAGCCUGAUGCAGCCAUGCCGCGUGCGGGAUGAAGGCCUUCGGGUUGUAAACCGCUUUUGUCAGAGACGAAAAGGGACGUACGAAUAAUACGUUCCGCUGACGGUAUCCGAAGAAUAAGCACCGGCUAACUACGUGCCAGCAGCCGCGGUAAUACGUAGGGUGCAAGCGUUAAUCGGAAUUACUGGGCGUAAAGGGUGCGCAGGCGGCUGUGCAAGACAGAUGUGAAAUCCCCGGGCUUAACCUGGGAACUGCAUUUGUGACUGCACGGCUAGAGUGUGUCAGAGGAGGGUGGAAUUCCGCGUGUAGCAGUGAAAUGCGUAGAUAUGCGGAAAAACACCAAUGGCGAAGGCAGCCCUCUGGGACAUGACUGACGCUCAUGCACGAAAGCGUGGGGAGCAAAC